ACGGAGGGUGCAAGCGUUGUCCGGAUUUAUUGGGUUUAAAGGGUGCGUAGGCGGCUUUUUAAGUCAGCGGUGAAAGACUGUCGCUUAACGACGGAACUGCCGUUGAUACUGAAUAGCUUGAGUAUGAUUGAGGUAGCUGGAAUGGAUAGUGUAGCGGUGAAAUGCAUAGAUAUUAUCCAGAACUCCAAUAGCGUAGGCAGGUUACUAAGUCAUUACUGACGCUGAGGCACGAGAGUGCGGGUAUCAAACAGGAUUAGAUACCCUGGUAGUCCGCACUGUAAACGAUGAUGACUAGCUGUUGGAUUUUAGGAUUCAGUGGCACAGGGAAACCGUUAAGUCAUCCACCUGGGGAGUACGCCGGCAACGGUG
rnacentral:rRNA from 1 species